CGAACGCGCUUGAAGAAACCAAGUGAACUUUAUCUGCCUAUUUGAAUGUCUUCAUUUAGGGGAAGAAGUUUGCUAAACCUGAACUCGAAUCAUGCAUUGAGGAGUUUGAAGAAAAGUUGAAUAAAUUUGACAUUGAGAGGAAGGAACAAGAACUUACUGCCAAAAAUGCUCAAAGCCAUCAACAGAAAGUGGAGAGCUUGGGGAGAGUAUCGCAGUGACUGAAAAAGAAGAAGAGGAAAUCGGUGAAUCUGAAAUUACUAAAGUAGCAUCAAGAAGAUUAGCAAUGGAGCAGCAGCACAAGAAUCAGAAGGUAUGCAAGACCAAAAUGAUGAAAUCGAGGAUGUUCAAGACGGCCCUUUCCCUGUUGAGCAACUUCAGGUUUCACAAUUUCCCUCCUUCUUGAAUUGAGGGGUUAUACAUAUAAAGUUUUGCUUUUCUCUUUGUUUUAUGUCAUUCUUAUGAUAAGCUGAUGCUUUUUACCUUCACCCAUUUCCCCUUUUCCUCUAAUCCAUAAUCUCGAUUUUCUUGUUCUUUUGGGUGUCAUUUCCUAACCCAGAUGUUUUUUUUUCCAAUUUUAAUUCAACUCGUCUGGAAUCUUGGAUUGGGGUAGCCAUUCUUAUGAUAAUUAAUGAUUGUUUAUGACUUCAGAUUCAAUGUGUAGCUGGGUCUGAUCUUGCAUUGUGCUUCUGUGUUAAAUCUUGAAUCUUAAAUUGUGUUCUGGGUUGAAUCUUUAAUUGUACAAAACUGAAUUUCGUGACGCUGUAAAUUGAAAUCAUUUCUAAGUCCCUUUCCCGGCAGGUUGAGCUCACAGAUAUCUAAUACCACUGCCAAAGAGGAGAGAAAAAUUCAGAUCCAAUUGCAACUUUCACACACGAUCUAGUACAAUCUCCUUGUGUUGAUCAUUAGUCUUAAUCAACAAUUGUUUCUGGGACACAGUGGGUACCUUGCAAUCAUAUCAGAAUCAUCACCUACUACCCCAACACUAGUAAAAUCCAUUUGAAGUGGUUCAUGGAACUCUGCCAAUGCUAGGUCCUCUUUCUCGACUUGCUCCGCAUCUGCUACAGCAUUUAUAAAGGGAAAGCUGAGGAGUUAAUGUGGUAGCAGUGCUUCGGAUGAGGAGGACCUCACAUUUCCUACAGGCUCGAGCUGAGAGUGAUGCAAUUCAGGGAGUCCCUCGUAUUCUUUUUUGAUAUUUUGAUUGUGAGGACACCAUCUCAUUUUCAGUUGGGGGUGCCUCCCUUGUAGUCAUUUUGUUGAUUGUUUUUGCAUACAAUGAUUGUGCCCUUGUCGGGCAUACUUUGCUUUCUUUGUUAUGGAUUGGUGUGCCCUUGUCGGGAUUUGAUAUUGUGGAUGUUUCUGUGGAUAUUGUGUUAAAUUGGUCUAUUUUAGUUUUUGAUUUGUAGUUUGUAGCUUCUUUGUUUUUCUUUUGAUAAUAAGAUUUGGAUUGACGAUGCCCGAUGAUGGAUAGAGAGUGAUGACUUUCUUAAUGGUAAAUUGUCGAUUGCUUGUGAGUGUUUGAUUGGCGUUGAUUGUGGCGAAUUUUGAGUAGUUGUUCCCGAAUAGAUGCAUGAUUGUUGACGACUUUCUUAAGGGCAAAAUCAUUGUCUUUUUGGGAAGGUUUUGACUUGGUUGGUACUAAGAGCAUAGUCUUGCAUGUGAAUAGCGUUGAGCAUACCUCUCAAUUUUUAAAAGGUUGAUCAUGUUACGAAUAAUUUUGUGACAACUCUUACCACUCUUUUUGUGACUUUUGAUUCGUUAGCGAUUAAAAUGUUCAAUACUUCUUGUAUUUUUAAAAGGAAGAUUUUGAACCAUUUUGAUUGAUUUGCAGGUCAUGUGUGGUGAGUUGUUGAAUAAUGCCUUGUGUUUGCUUUUGUUACCUAGAACUUGCCCGGUUGGUCUUGAAAUGUUGGUCUUGAUUGAGUUUGGUUGGAGAAAUGAUCUUAGGUUUUCUUUGAUGUUCUUGAGUCCACUUGGCCUAAAAAUUCCACCUUUGUACAAAAUAACCUUAGUUGUCCCCUUUGAGCCUAAUCCUUUUUAUUGGCAACCACAUUACAAGCCUUAGCCUUUUUGAAAAAGUAACCCUCUUUUGAACCCUUCCCUCCUUGAACUUGAGGUUUUGAAAGUUUAGGCUAAAAGCCUAAGUUGGGGGGGUUAUGGGAAAUUCAUUGAAGGAAUGCUUACCACAUGAGGGCUUGAUAUAAAAAAAAAAAAAGAAAAAAAAAGAAGAGAAAUUGAAGGAUGGAUGGGAAGUCUUAAAGAAAGAAAAAACUUUGAAAAAGAAAGAAAGAAAAUGAAUAAAUGAGGCUUGAAUUCUCGAAAAGUUGAAAAUGGUUGCAUGUGGGGCAUCUAGAGUGGAAAUAAGAAAAGAAAAAUGAAAAAGUAGUGUGGAAUGUGCAUGGUGAAGAGAAGUGGAGAAAGUUGGAAACGAUGAGUUGUUGUGUAGUGUUCAAGGAGGGUGUAGUCACUUAUACCUAAAUGAUAUCCUAACCUUCCCUAAGCCUACAUUACAAGCUUAACAAAGUCCUUUGAGAUUUCUAAGCAAAUGGAGUUGAGUCAAUGUUGAUUGAAAAUAUGGGCAAGCCUAUGGUGUGACAUUUGUGUGCAUGAGAUGAUUCUUUGUGAGUGUGAGUGUUGCAUCUUUGUCCCUUGUCUUGUUUAUAUGUGUGUGGGGUUUUGGGACACUUCUUUUUGUGAGGGCAUGUAAGUUGAAAAAGUGGUGAUUUUGAAAAUUCCUAAUUGAGUCAAGUGAGCAUGUGAAAGAGUUAAUGAGUUGAGUGAUUUCUUGAGUUUGAGUUGUUGUCACAUAAAUGAUUCUUGGUUUUUGGAAAUGUUUCAUGAGAAUGAGAGGGAUUUCUUUUGUGAAAAUUUUGCAUGUGGACUAUUUGUUAGUACCAACCAAAGCCAUUACCUUUGUGCUUAAUUGAGAAA